GCUGCAGGAAUUCCCAAUACUAUCGGUACGGGUUGUGGGAGCAAGAGCCCGGAGAUGGAUUCUGAGACACGAAUCCAGGCCCUACGGGGCGCAGCAGGCGCGAAAACUUUACAAUGCAGGAAACUGUGAUAAGGGAACCCCGAGUGCCCGUAUGGACGGGCUGUUCAGGUGCUUAAAAACCACCUGGAGAAAGGGCCGGGCAAGACCGGUGCCAGCCGCCGCGGUAAUACCGGCGGCUCGAGUGGUGGCCACUAUUACUGGGCUUAAAGCGUCCGUAGCUUGGUCGUUAAGCCUCUGGGGAAAUCUUCCGGCUCAACCGGAAGGCGUCUCAGGGGAACUGGCGACCUAGGGAUCGGGAGAGGUGAGAGGUACUCUGGGGGUAGGAGUGAAAUCCUGUAAUCCUCAGGGGACCACCUGUGGCGAAGGCGUCUCACCAGAACGACUCCGACAGUGAGGGACGAAAGCUGGGGGAGCAAACCGGAUUAGAUACCCGGGUAGUCCCAGCCGUAAAC
rnacentral:rRNA from 1 species